rnacentral:rRNA from 1 species
GUGGGGAAUCUUGCGCAAUGGGCGAAAGCCUGACGCAGCCAUGCCGCGUGAAUGAUGAAGGUCUUAGGAUUGUAAAAUUCUUUCACCGGGGACGAUAAUGACGGUACCCGGAGAAGAAGCCCCGGCUAACUUCGUGCCAGCAGCCGCGGUAAUACGAAGGGGGCUAGCGUUGCUCGGAAUUACUGGGCGUAAAGGGCGCGUAGGCGGACAGUUUAGUCAGAGGUGAAAGCCCAGGGCUCAACCUUGGAAUUGCCUUUGAUACUGGCUGUCUUGAGUACGGGAGAGGUGAGUGGAACUCCGAGUGUAGAGGUGAAAUUCGUAGAUAUUCGGAAGAACACCAGUGGCGAAGGCGACUCACUGGCCCGUUACUGACGCUGAGGCGCGAAAGCGUGGGGAGCAAACAGGAUUAGAUACCCCUGUAGUCC